rnacentral:rRNA from 1 species
AUGGUUGCUGCCGCCCGAUGCCACCGUGUGCUUUCAGCACGAGCCGCCGCAGAUGCCGUGCAACAAGGCCACCUCGCCGGCCGCUGUCGUGCACCGCCGCCGAUGCAGCUACCGCCGCGCUGCGCCCCGUCGAGUGCCACUCGCUGUUGCUGCCGAAACCCGCAGCUCUGUGCGCCGUCGUGCCGUGUCUCCGUGCCGUCGCGCCGAGCUGCCGCGGCCUCUGCGCAACCACGCAGGUACUCCGUGACCUCCUCGCCUCCGCGACCGCCGCUGCUCGUCGCGCGCACGGCAUCGCGCCGCACCACCGCGGACUCGUCGCCCGUCGCAAUCGACACACGCUCUCCACGCGCUGCAGCCUCCAUGUCCGUUGCGCGCUCCGCGGACGCUGCCGCGCGCCGUGGCCGCCCCUCGAACUUGGCUCUGAAUACCAAUUGUUGUUGCCGCUAG